UUUGACUCAAACACGUAACAUUCUUUUUCAAUGCAGGACUUUUAGUUGUAACAAAGCAGUUUUACAGUAUGGUAUUAGUGCUUUUACUCAAGUAAAUGAGCUGAAUACUUCUUCUACC